UUAAGCGACUAAGCGUACACGGUGGAUGCCCUGGCAGUCAGAGGCGAUGAAGGACGUGCUAAUCUGCGAAAAGCGUCGGUAAGGUGAUAUGAACCGUUAUAACCGGCGAUGUCCGAAUGGGGAAACCCAGUGCAAUUCGUUGCACUAUCGUUAACUGAAUACAUAGGUUAACGAGGCGAACCGGGGGAACUGAAACAUCUAAGUACCCCGAGGAAAAGAAAUCAACCGAGAUUCCCCCAGUAGCGGCGAGCGAACGGGGAGCAGCCCAGAGUCUGAAUCAGCUUGUGUGUUAGUGGAACGGUCUGGAAAGUCCGACGGUACAGGGUGAUAGUCCCGUACACCAAAAUGCACAGGCUGUGAACUCGAAGAGUAGGGCGGGACACGUGGUAUCCUGUCUGAAUAUGGGGGGACCAUCCUCCAAGGCUAAAUACUCCUGACUGACCGAUAGUGAACCAGUACCGUGAGGGAAAGGCGAAAAGAACCCCGGCGAGGGGAGUGAAAAAGAACCUGAAACCGUGUACGUACAAGCAGUGGGAGCACCUUCGGGUGUGACUGCGUACCUUUUGUAUAAUGGGUCAGCGACUUAUAUUCUGUAGCAAGGUUAACCGUAUAGGGGAGCCGCAGGGAAACCGAGUCUUAACUGGGCGUUAAGUUGCAGGGUAUAGACCCGAAACCCGGUGAUCUAGCCAUGGGCAGGUUGAAGGUUGGGUAACACUAACUGGAGGACCGAACCGACUAAUGUUGAAAAAUUAGCGGAUGACUUGUGGCUGGGGGUGAAAGGCCAAUCAAACCGGGAGAUAGCUGGUUCUCCCCGAAAGCUAUUUAGGUAGCGCCUCGUGAAUUCAUCUUCGGGGGUAGAGCACUGUUUCGGCUAGGGGGUCAUCCCGACUUACCAACCCGAUGCAAACUACGAAUACCGAAGAAUGUUAUCACGGGAGACACACGGCGGGUGCUAACGUCCGUCGUGAAGAGGGAAACAACCCAGACCGCCAGCUAAGGUCCCAAAGUCAUGGUUAAGUGGGAAACGAUGUGGGAAGGCACAGACAGCCAGGAUGUUGGCUUAGAAGCAGCCAUCAUUUAAAGAAAGCGUAAUAGCUCACUGGUCGAGUCGGCCUGCGCGGAAGAUGUAACGGGGCUAAACCAUGCACCGAAGCUGCGGCAGCGACACUAUGUGUUGUUGGGUAGGGGAGCGUUCUGUAAGCCUGCGAAGGUGUGCUGUGAGGCAUGCUGGAGGUAUCAGAAGUGCGAAUGCUGACAUAAGUAACGAUAAAGCGGGUGAAAAGCCCGCUCGCCGGAAGACCAAGGGUUCCUGUCCAACGUUAAUCGGGGCAGGGUGAGUCGACCCCUAAGGCGAGGCCGAAAGGCGUAGUCGAUGGGAAACAGGUUAAUAUUCCUGUACUUGGUGUUACUGCGAAGGGGGGACGGAGAAGGCUAUGUUAGCCGGGCGACGGUUGUCCCGGUUUAAGCAUGUAGGCUGAUUGUCCAGGCAAAUCCGGAUAAUCAAGGCUGAGGUGUGAUGACGAGGCACUACGGUGCUGAAGUAACAAAUGCCCUGCUUCCAGGAAAAGCCUCUAAGCAUCAGGUAACAUUAAAUCGUACCCCAAACCGACACAGGUGGUCAGGUAGAGAAUACCAAGGCGCUUGAGAGAACUCGGGUGAAGGAACUAGGCAAAAUGGUGCCGUAACUUCGGGAGAAGGCACGCUGGUGUGUAGGUGAAGUCCCUGCGGAUGGAGCUGAGACCAGUCGAAGAUACCAGCUGGCUGCAACUGUUUAUUAAAAACACAGCACUGUGCAAACACGAAAGUGGACGUAUACGGUGUGACGCCUGCCCGGUGCCGGAAGGUUAAUUGAUGGGGUUAUCCGUAAGGAGAAGCUCUUGAUCGAAGCCCCGGUAAACGGCGGCCGUAACUAUAACGGUCCUAAGGUAGCGAAAUUCCUUGUCGGGUAAGUUCCGACCUGCACGAAUGGCGUAAUGAUGGCCAGGCUGUCUCCACCCGAGACUCAGUGAAAUUGAACUCGCUGUGAAGAUGCAGUGUACCCGCGGCAAGACGGAAAGACCCCGUGAACCUUUACUAUAGCUUGACACUGAACAUUGAGCCUUGAUGUGUAGGAUAGGUGGGAGGCUUUGAAGCGUGGACGCCAGUCUGCGUGGAGCCAACCUUGAAAUACCACCCUUUAAUGUUUGAUGUUCUAACGUUGGCCCCUUACCGGGGUUGCGGACAGUGUCUGGUGGGUAGUUUGACUGGGGCGGUCUCCUCCCAAAGCGUAACGGAGGAGCACGAAGGUUAGCUAAUCCUGGUCGGACAUCAGGAGGUUAGUGCAAUGGCAUAAGCUAGCUUGACUGCGAGCGUGACGGCGCGAGCAGGUGCGAAAGCAGGUCAUAGUGAUCCGGUGGUUCUGAAUGGAAGGGCCAUCGCUCAACGGAUAAAAGGUACUCCGGGGAUAACAGGCUGAUACCGCCCAAGAGUUCAUAUCGACGGCGGUGUUUGGCACCUCGAUGUCGGCUCAUCACAUCCUGGGGCUGAAGUAGGUCCCAAGGGUAUGGCUGUUCGCCAUUUAAAGUGGUACGCGAGCUGGGUUUAGAACGUCGUGAGACAGUUCGGUCCCUAUCUGCCGUGGGCGCUGGAGAAUUGAGGGGGGCUGCUCCUAGUACGAGAGGACCGGAGUGGACGCAUCACUGGUGUUCGGGUUGUCAUGCCAAUGGCACUGCCCGGUAGCUAAAUGCGGAAGAGAUAAGUGCUGAAAGCAUCUAAGCACGAAACUUGCCCCGAGAUGAGUUCUCCCUGAGACUUUAAGUCUCCUGAAGGAACGUUAAAGACGAUGACGUUGAUAGGCCGGGUGUGUAAGCGCAGCGAUGCGUUGAGCUAACCGGUACUAAUGAACCGUGAGGCUUAACCUU
rnacentral:rRNA from 1 species